UUGGAGGGCAAGUCUGGUGCCAGCAGCCGCGGUAAUUCCAGCUCCAAUAGCGUAUAUUAAAGUUGUUGCAGUUAAAAAGCUCGUAGUUGAAUUUCGGGGUUAGUAGGUUGGUCAUGCCUCUGGUAUGCACUGGUCUCACUGAUUCCUCCUUCCUGAUGAGCCGUAAUGCCAUUAAUUUGGUGUUGCGGGGAAUUUGGACUGUUACUUUGAAAAAAUUAGAGUGUUUAAAGCAAGCUAACGCUUGAAUACAUUAGCAUGGAAUAAUGAAAUAGGACGUUUGAUUCUAUUUUGUUGGUUUCUAGGAUCGACGUAAUGAUUAAUAGGGAUAGUUGGGGGCAUUAGUAUUCAAUUGUCAGAGGUGAAAUUCUUGGAUUUAUUGAAGACUAACUACUGCGAAAGCAUUUGCCAAGGAUGUUUCCAUUAAUCAAGAACGAAAGUUAGGGGAUCGAAGACGAUCAGAUACCGUCGUAGUCUUAACCAUAAACUAUGCCGACUAGGGAUCGGAUGAUGUUAAUUUUUUAAUGACUCAUUCGGCGCCUUACGGGAAAC
rnacentral:rRNA from 1 species